GACGAACGCUGGCGGCGUGCUUAACACAUGCAAGUCGAACGAUGAAGCUGGAGCUUGCUCUAGCGGAUUAGUGGCGAACGGGUGAGUAACACGUGAGCAAUCUGCCCUUGACUCUGGGAUAACUGCGGGAAACUGUAGCUAAUACCGGAUACUUUCACCGGGGGGCAUCCUCUGGUGUUGAAAGACUUUCGGUCAAGGAUGAGCUCGCGGCCUAUCAGCUUGUUGGUGAGGUAACGGCUCACCAAGGCGACGACGGGUAACCGGCCUGAGAGGGUGACCGGUCACACUGGGACUGAGACACGGCCCAGACGCCUACGGGAGGAAGCAGUGGGGAAUAUUGCACAAUGGGCGCAAGCCUGAUGCAGCAACGCCGCGUGAGGGAUGAAGGCCUUCGGGUUGUAAACCUCUUUUAGCAGGGAAGAAGCGAAAGUGACGGUACCUGCAGAAAAAGCACCAGCUAACUACGUGCCAGCCGCCGCGGUAA
rnacentral:rRNA from 1 species